rnacentral:rRNA from 1 species
UGAAUACGAGACGCUAAGGCGUCGAAGUAGUGUAUGUCAUACUUCCAAGAAAAGCUUGCACUGUCAUAGAUAAAAAACGCCUGUACCAUAACCGACACAGGUGGGUAGGUAGAGUAUACUAAGGGGCGCGAGAUAACUCUCUCUAAGGAACUCGGCAAAAUAACUCCGUAACUUCGGGAGAAGGAGUGCCUUAUUCUUAAGGUUGCAAUAACAAGAUCCAAGCAACUGUUUAUCAAAAACACAGGUCUCCGCUAAGUCGUAAGACGAUGUAUGGGGGCUGACGCCUGCCCAGUGCCAGAAGGUUAAAGAAGCUGGUUAGCAUUUGCGAAGCUAGUAACUGAAGCCCUGGUGAACGGCGGCCGUAACCAUAACGGUCCUAAGGUAGCGAAAUUCCUUGUCGGGUAAGUUCCGACCCGCACGAAAGGCGUAAUGAUUUGGAUACUGUCUCGGAGAGGGGCUCGGUGAAAUAGACUUGUCUGUGAAGAUGCGGACUACCUGCACCAGGACAGAAAGACCCUAUGAAGCUUUACUGUAACUUGAAAUUGAAAUUGGACUUUAUUCGCGCAGUAUAGGUGGGAGGCGUUGAUUAUAAUCUUGCGGGAUUAUUGGAGCCAUUAGUGAGAUACCACUCUUGUAAUGUUAGAUUUCUAACUUUGAAUCAUUAUCUGGUCAAAGAACAGUUUCAGGCGGGCAGUUUGACUGGGGCGGUCGCCUCCUAAACGGUAACGGAGGCGUACAAAGGUUUCCUCUGAACGGUUAGAAAUCGUAUCUAGAGUGUAAAGGCAUAAGGAAGCUUGACUGUGAGACCUACAAGUCGAGCAGGGACGAAAGUCGGUCUUAGUGAUCUGACGGUACUGAGUGGAAAGGCCGUCACUCAACGGAUAAAAGUUACUCUAAGGAUAACAGGCUGAUCUCCCCCAAGAGUUCACAUCGACGGGGAGGUUUGGCACCUCGAUGUCGGCUCAUCGCAUCCUGGGGCGGUAGUACGUCCCAAGGGUUGGGCUGUUCGCCCAUGAAAGCGGUACGCGAGCUGGGUUCAGAACGUCGUGAGACAGUUCGGUCCAUAUCCGGUGUAGGCGUUAGAAUAUUGAGAGGAGCCUUCUUUAGUACGAGAGGACCGAGAAGGACAUACCUCUGGUGUACCAGUUAUCGUGCCAACGGUAAACGCUGGGUAGCUAUGUAUGGAGUGGAUAACCGCUGAAAGCAUCUAAGUGGGAAGCCCACCUCAAGAUAAGUAUUCUCAUC